rnacentral:SRP_RNA from 1 species
GCUGGGAGCAGUGGCUCGUGCCUGUAGUCCCAGCUACUCCAGAGGCUGAGGUGGGAGGACUGCUUGAGUCCAGGAGUUCUGGGCCGCAGCGCUAUGCCAUUCAGGUGUCUGCACUAAGUUUGCAUCAAUAUGGUGACCUGCCGGGAGUGGGGGACCACCAGGUUGCCUAAGGGGGAGGUGAACCAGCCCAGGUCGGAAACGGAACAGGUCAAAACUUGUAUGCUGAUCAAAAAACAGUGCUGGAAUAAUUGGACAUCUAUAUGCAAAACAAUAAAUAUUGAUUCA